AUUGAACGCUGGCGGCAGGCCUAACACAUGCAAGUCGAGCGGAUGAAGGGAGCUUGCUCCUGGAUUCAGCGGCGGACGGGCGAGUAAUGCCUAGGAAUCUGCCUGGUAGUGGGGGAUAACGUCCGGACACGGGCGCUAAUACCGCAUACGUCCUGAGGGAGAAAGUGGGGGAUCUUCGGACCUCACGCUACCAGAUGAGCCUAGGUCGGAUUAGCUAGUUGGUGGGGUAAAGGCCUACCAAGGCGACGAUCCGUAACUGGUCUGAGAGGAUGAUCAGUCACACUGGAACUGAGACACGGUCCAGACUCCUACGGGAGGCAGCAGUGGGGAAUAUUGGACAAUGGGCGAAAGCCUGAUCCAGCCAUGCCGCGUGUGUGAAGAAGGUCUUCGGAUUGUAAAGCACUUUAAGUUGGGAGGAAGGGCAGUAAGUUAAUACCUUGCUGUUUUGACGUUACCAACAGAAUAAGCACCGGCUAACUUCGUG
rnacentral:rRNA from 1 species